rnacentral:misc_RNA from 1 species
UACGUAGGGUGCAAGCGUUGUUCGGAAUUAUUGGGCGUAAAGAGCGUGUAGGUGGUCAGGUAAGUUGGAUGUGAAAUCCCACGGCUCAACCGUGGACGUGCAUUCAAAACUGCUUGGCUUGAGGGCAGCAGAGGGAGGUGGAAUUCCUAGUGUAGAGGUGAAAUUCGUAGAUAUUAGGAGGAAUACCGGUGGCGAAGGCGGCCUCCUGGACUGUUCCUGACACUGAGACGCGAAAGCGUGGGUAGCAAACAGG